GGUUUUGUUCUUCUGAUAAAAUUGGAACGAUACAUAGAAGAUUAGCAUGGCCCUUGCGUAAGGAUGACACGCAUAAUCGAGAAAUGGUCCAAAUUUUU